ensembl:lncRNA
AUAUACAUACACACGAUAGUAAAAAUAUCAGUAUUUGAAGGGUUUUCCCAGGCCGCCACCCAAUCCAGGUUUGGGGAUACAAACUUUUACCAAGUAACUGUUCUAGUAAUUGCAUUUACGGAGUGUUCUUCAGCGUACGUGCACGUCUGUUUAGUUCUCUUGUUUCUAUACUGCACGAGUUCUGCGUUUUAACGGUCGAUACCUCAGACAGCUUUAUAAUCGUUACCUGGAGGUCAUGUAGGUUUGCAGUAAGGGUUGCACGAUUGUACAAACAUGCUUUUACUGUAUAACCUGUCAGGACCCGCUACAAGUCGAUGUUUACUCUUCCAUAAGGACAGUACUACUGAUUUAUAGAAACGCACCAAUAUUGACCUACUGAUAUUUUAUUAAUGGUUAACCAGCUACGGGUUUAACCUGUGGAAGCCAGAUGACUAGUCACAUUUUGUCUAAGUACGUCAUGUUUAUAGUGUCUGUGUGUAUUUAAACUUUGUGAGGGUAUAAAUAGUGAGCACUGAACACAUAUUUUGUGAAUGAGUGGAGUGGAGUGGAGUGAUUACUGCUCGUAACAGAUUAAAAAAAACAGAAAUUUCAUACGUAGCUUAUCAGGAAGCACUACAGUGCCGAUGUUUGUUUCAAAUAUUAAAACUCUUGCUCUGAAAUACAGCUGUAUGUAUACCACUGCACACGUGUAGUAAGCACAAAGCAGGCAUUAUAUGUUUAUUAGGAACUCCUAUGCACCUGCUCAUUAAUGCAAUUAUCCUAUCAGCCAAUCACGUCGCAGCAGCGCAAUGCAUAAAAAUCACACAAGUCAAGAGCUUCGGUUAACGUUCACGUCAAGCAUCGAGACUGGAGGGGGAAAAAAAUCUCGUAAUUACGACGUCAGGUGCGUCCGAGUCGGAGCAAGAUGGCGGCGUACUUUCUCUUAAUUAACUAUAGAGAAAAAGUCCGGUGCUUGCGAUUUCGCCACAGGUAGAUGGCGUCUCUUUCAUCUCGUAGGAUAUGAUGUAUAUACACACACACACACACACACACACACACACACACAC